CCUACGGGUGGCAGCAGUGAGGAAUAUUGGUCAAUGGGCGGGAGCCUGAACCAGCCAAGCCGCGUGAGGGAAGAAGGUACAGCGUAUCGUAAACCUCUUUUGUCAGGGAACAAAGGCGGGGACUAGUCCCCGGAUGAGGGUACCUGAAGAAAAAGCAUCGGCUAACUCCGUGCCAGCAGCCGCGGUAAUACGGAGGAUGCGAGCGUUAUCCGGAUUUAUUGGGUUUAAAGGGAGCGUAGAUGGGUUGUUAAGUCAGUUGUGAAAGUUUGCGGCUCAACCGUAAAAUUGCAAUUGAUACUGGCAGUCUUGAGUACAGUUGAGGUAGGCGGAAUUCGUGGUGUAGCGGUGAAAUGCUUAGAUAUCACGAAGAACCCCGAUUGCGAAGGCAGCUUACUAAACUGUGACUGACAUUGAUGCUCGAAAGUGUGGGUAUCAAACAGGAUUAGAUACCCCUGUAGUC
rnacentral:rRNA from 1 species